rnacentral:rRNA from 1 species
CCUACGGGGGGCAGCAGAGAGGAAUAUUGGUCAAUGGGCGCGAGCCUGAACCAGCCAAGUAGCGUGAAGGAUGACUGCCCUACGGGUUGUAAACUUCUUUUAUAAAGGAAUAAAGUGAGGCACGUGUGCCUUUUAGUAUGUAUUUUAUGAAUAAGGAUCGGCUAACUCCGUGCCAGCAGCCGCGGUAAUACGGAGGCUCCGGGCGUUAUCCGGGUUUCUGGGGUUUAAAGGGAGCGUAAAUGGGUUGUUAAGUCAGUUGUGAAAGUUUGCGGCUCAACCGUAAAAUUGCAAUGGAUACUGGCAGCCUUGAGUACAGUUGAGGUAGGCGGAAUUCGUGGUGUAGCGGUGAAAUGCUUAGAUAUCACGAAGAACUCCGAUUGCGAAGGCAGCCUACUAAACUGCCACUGACAUUGAUGCUCGAAAGUGUGGGUAUCAAACAGGAUUAGAUACCCGUGUAGUC